UCUUUUUGCUUCCUUUUAAAGUCAUUAAGGUUGUUGGAUGAAGAAGAAGCAACCGAUAAUGAUUUAAGAGCAAAAUUUAAGGAACGUUGGCAAAGGACACCAUCCAAUGAACUGUAUAAGCCUUUAAGAGCAGAGGGAACCAACUUCAGAACAGUUUUAGAUAAAGCUGUGCAGGCAGAUGGACAAGUGAAAGAAUGUUACCAGUCUCAUCGUGACACCAUCGUGCUUUUGUGUAAGCCAGAGCCUGAGCUGAAUGCUGCCAUCCCUUCUGCUAAUCCAGCAAAGACCAUGCAGGGCAGUGAGGUUGUAAAUGUCUUAAAAUCCUUAUUGUCAAAUCUUGAUGAAGUAAAGAAGGAAAGAGAGGGUCUGGAGAAUGACUUGAAAUCUGUGAAUUUUGACAUGACAAGCAAGUUUUUGACAGCCCUGGCUCAAGAUGGUGUGAUAAAUGAAGAAGCUCUUUCUGUUACUGAACUAGAUCGAGUCUAUGGAGGUCUUACAACUAAAGUCCAAGAAUCUCUAAAGAAACAGGAGGGACUUCUUAAAAAUAUUCAGGUCUCACAUCAGGAAUUUUCGAAAAUGAAACAAUCUAAUAAUGAAGCUAACUUAAGAGAAGAAGUUUUGAAGAAUUUAGCUACUGCAUAUGACAACUUUGUUGAACUUGUAGCUAAUUUGAAGGAAGGCACAAAGUUUUACAAUGAGUUGACUGAAAUCCUGGUCAGGUUCCAGAACAAAUGCAGUGAUAUAGUUUUUGCACGGAAGACAGAAAGAGAUGAACUCUUAAAGGACUUGCAACAAAGCAUUGCCAGAGAACCUAGUGCUCCUUCAAUUCCUACACCUGCAUAUCAGUCCUCACCAGCAGGAGGACAUGCACCAACUCCUCCAACUCCAGCGCCA
rnacentral:sRNA from 1 species